rnacentral:rRNA from 1 species
GGUGAACGCUGGCGGCGUGCUUAAGACAUGCAAGUCGAACGCAGUCUUCGGACUGAGUGGCGCACGGGUGAGUAACACGUAACUGACCUACCCCCAAGUCGCGAAUAACCAGCCGAAAGGAUGGCUAAUACGUGAUGUGAUGAUCCGCUGUGGCGGAUCAUUAAAGACUUGAUCGCUUGGGGAUGGGGUUGCGUUCCAUCAGCUAGUUGGGAAGGUAAAGGCUAACCAAGGCAACGACGGAUAGCCGGCCUGAGAGGGUGGCCGGGCACAGGGGCACUGAGACACGGGUCCCACUCCUACGGGAGGCAGCAGUUAGGAAUCUUCCACAAUGGGCGCAAGCCUGAUGGAGCGACGCCGCGUGAGGGAUGAAGGUUCUCGGAUCGUAAACCUCUGAACCAACGACGAAAGACCCGACAAGGGAGAUGACGGUAGUUGGGUAAUAGCACCGGCUAACUCCGUGCCAGCCGCCGCCGUAAUAC